GGAUGGAACGCUAGCGGCAGGCCUAACACAUGCAAGUCGAGGGGUAUAUGUCUUCGGAUAUAGAGACCGGCGCACGGGUGCGUAACGCGUAUGCAAUCUACCUUUUACAGGGGAAUAGCCCAGAGAAAUUUGGAUUAAUGCCCCAUAGUAUAUAAGAAUCGCAUGGUUUUUAUAUUAAAGUUCCAACGGUAAAAGAUGAGCAUGCGUCCCAUUAGUUAGUUGGUAAGGUAACGGCUUACCAAGACAAUGAUGGGUAGGGGUCCUGAGAGGGAGAUCCCCCACACUGGUACUGAGACACGGACCAGACUCCUACGGGAGGCAGCAGUGAGGAAUAUUGGACAAUGGGCGCAAGCCUGAUCCAGCCAUGCCGCGUGCAGGAAGACGGUCCUAUGGAUUGUAAACUGCUUUUGUACAGGAAGAAACACUCCCUCGUGAGGGAGCUUGACGGUACUGUAAGAAUAAGGAUCGGCUAACUCCGUGCCAGCAGCCGCGGUAAUACGGAGGAUCCAAGCGUUAUCCGGAAUCAUUGGGUUUAAAGGGUCCGUAGGCGGUUUAAUAAGUCAGUGGUGAAAGCCCAUCGCUCAACGAUGGAACGGCCAUUGAUACUGUUAGACUUGAAUUAUUAGGAAGUAACUAGAAUAUGUAGUGUAGCGGUGAAAUGCUUAGAUAUUACAUGGAAUACCAAUUGCGAAGGCAGGUUACUACUAAUGGAUUGACGCUGAUGGACGUAAGCGUGGGGAGCGAACAGGAUUAGAUACCCCUGGUAGUCCACGGCCGGUAAACGAUGGAUACUAG
rnacentral:rRNA from 1 species